CACUACUUUUUUUCUGCACAACCAUGAAAAAAUUUUUGCUUAAGGAGGGUAAUGGAUCACUAUUAAGAAUUUGCAAUUGUACAAUAUUGAAAAUCGAAUUUAGUGCUAUGAGAAUUGGAACUUCUCUAUUUCUCUUGCUGUAGUAAAUGCCUUUCCAACCCUACAUGAACAUAGAAGAACAGUGUCAUAUAAGUGCAACUCAUCCUAUAAGACUUUAAGCUUUGAAUAAUAGAUUGUGUCUGAGAGCCCUUCUUGCACAAUGAGAGAG
rnacentral:lncRNA from 1 species